rnacentral:rRNA from 1 species
GACGAACGCUGGCGGCGUGCCUAACACAUGCAAGUCGAGCGGAGUCAGUAAGAGGAAGUUUUCGGAUGAAAUCUUAUUGAUUUAGCGGCGGACGGGUGAGUAACGCGUGAGCGACCAACCUUGCACAGGGGGAUAACGGACCGAAAGGUUCACUAAUACCGCAUGAGACCACGGUGUUGCAUGACACAGAGGUCAAAGGAGCAAUCCGGUGCAAGACGGGCUCGCGUCCGAUUAGGUAGUUGGAGGGGUAACGGCCCACCAAGCCUAUGAUCGGUAGCCGACCUGAGAAGGUGAUCGGCCACAUUGGAACUGAGAUACGGUCCAAACUCCUACGGGAGGCAGCAGUGGGGAAUAGUGGGCAAUGGGGGAAACCCUGACCCAGCAACGCCGCGUGAAGGAAGAAGGUUUUCGGAUUGUAAACUUCUGUCCUUGGUGAAGAGAAGAAGACGGUAGCCAAGGAGGAAGCCCCGGCUAACUACGUGCCAGCCGCCGCUGUAA